GUCAAAAGGCCAAACUGUGCACUCAUCUUCAGGUCUGCAGCUUGGCCGUCUUCCAAGUGAACCUGCCUUUCAUUCCUGGUCUCACACUUGCCUUGGCCUCUACUGCCUGAUGCCCCUCAAUAGGAAUGCCUUCUUCUGAGGAGGCAAGAAUUGAGGUUGCUGUAGACCUGAUACAGAUUUCCCACCGCUAACAUAUUUUGGUGCUGUGUGACUCAGAUAAGGAAAUGGAGGCUCAGAGUUGGCAGAUAACAUGUUCAAGAUCUUGAAACUAGCAGGUGGCAGAGCUGAGAUUCAUCCGUCUGCAUGUACUCAGGGUCAUUGUAAUGUAAUGCAGCCACUGUUUUAAUCAGCGAGCACGUGGGGUGCAAUGGGAACAUCCAUCUGGGAGCUCAGCACGGGUUGGGUGCAAAGCAUCCUUUGUGAACUGACUUUGUAGAGACUUGAAGAAGGAGUUUGAGUCAGCAAGGUGAAAAUAAAAAGUGAAAAGAUUUUCUAGACACAAGAAACUGUCAGUAAAG